rnacentral:rRNA from 1 species
GCAGUAGCCGCGGGAAUACGAGGGGGGCAAGCGUUGUUCGGAAUUAUUGGGCGUAAAGGGUGCGUAGGCGGUUUGGCAAGUUUGGUGUGAAAUCUUCGGGCUCAACUCGAAGUCUGCAUCGAAAACUGCCGGGCUUGAGUAUGGGAGAGGUGAGUGGAAUUUCCGGUGUAGCGGUGAAAUGCGUAGAUAUCGGAAGGAACACCUGUGGCGAAAGCGGCUCACUGGACCAUAACUGACGCUGAUGCACGAAAGCUAGGGGAGCAAACAGGAUUAGAUACCCCCGUAGUCCCUGUCUCUUAUAC